CAUCUCCCUCUGCCAUUCUUUAAAUAGGAUCCAUAUCCCACAUCAAGAUCCAACAUUAGAAAUCUCAAAUGUGCAACAAAAAAGAUGACCAUAAUUUAUUUUCUAGCAGCAGAUUUCUCAAACUAAAAUAAUGGAGUGAUUGAGAAUUCAAAAUCACAGGUUAAAACUAAACAGGGUAGUUGAAAGAAAAACAGAAAACAAGAAUGUAUAGCAUGGACAAAUCAUGCUGGAUUACAAACUUAGACGUACAAUACCCAUGAAACUCUUCUGAUUGAUGGUUGCUAUAAAAUAAGUGGAAAUUUUUAUUAUGCUUCUAUCGUUUUAUAUUGUUAAGAUUGAGGGCUACCAUAAUGCUUAUGAUAAAUUUUGAAGGAUUUUACAAUCCAAUUAUAGAGAUCAUAAUGUUACAGAUUCUAGGUUCCAGGAUGCUUUCAAUUCAAUGAAUAUAUGCACAAAAGGAGAAUUUUAUAAAAGAAGAAUUUGUAAACCCUAACUACAAGUUUCAAAGUAUCCAUGAUCAUAAAACAUCCCGAACCAACAUAAAAGCCAACAAUUACAGUCAAAAUAACUUGCUUCAAAGAAAAUCCAAAAAGCCAAAGAAAAAGGCUUCAAAUAUCUGCACAAAUUAACUCUCUCCCAAUUUUCUCGCGAUUUCUCGGCAACCAAACAGAAUGGAAAUACACGAGGGGAUGGACAAAAUGGGAGAAAAUUAGAUUUCAAAACCUAACCUUUCAAACUGGGAAUUAAACUUAGAAAUCGGAAAGACGAAAGCUCUGGUGUAGUAAAUGAGGAAGAAGUAGGGUUCCAGAGCCAGCCAGCCCGCCAGACUUCGGUUGCUG
rnacentral:misc_RNA from 1 species